CCAGACUCCUACGGGAGGCAGCAGUGGGGAAUAUUGGGCAAUGGGCGCAAGCCUGACCCAGCAACGCCGCGUGAAGGAAGAAGGCUCUCGGGUUGUAAACUUCUUUUAUCAGGGACGAAGCAAGUGACGGUACCUCAUGAAUAAGCCACGGCUAACUACGUGCCAGCAGCCGCGGUAAUACGUAGGUGGCAAGCGUUAUCCGGAUUUACUGGGUGUAAAGGGCGUGUAGGCGGGACUGCAAGUCAGAUGUGAAAAUUAUGGGCUCAACCCAUAACCUGCAUUUGAAACUGCAGUUCUUGAGUACUGGAGAGGCAGACGGAAUUCCUAGUGUAGCGGUGAAAUGCGUAGAUAUUAGGAGGAACACCAGUGGCGAAGGCGGUCUGCUGGACAGCAACUGACGCUGAGGCGCGAAAGCGUGGGGAGCAAACAGGAUUAGAUACCCCGGUAU
rnacentral:rRNA from 1 species